rnacentral:rRNA from 1 species
AAAUGCGUAGAGAUCUGGAGGAAUACCGGUGGCGAAGGCGGCCCCCUGGACGAAGACUGACGCUCAGGUGCGAAAGCGUGGGGAGCAAACAGGAUUAGAUACCCUGGUAGUCCACGCCGUAAACGAUGUCUACUUGGAGGUUGUGCCCCUGAGGCGUGGCUUCCGGAGCUAACGCGUUAAGUAGACCGCCUGGGGAGUACGGCCGCAAGGUUAAAACUCAAAUGAAUUGACGGGGGCCCGCACAAGCGGUGGAGCAUGUGGUUUAAUUCGAUGCAACGCGAAGAAC